rnacentral:lncRNA from 1 species
AUGACAAACACAUUGGGACCGCGGGGGCCACCGGGCCGCAUUCCUGCCCCGCCGGGGCUCCGAGGGCAGCGCCGGUGCCCGCCCGGAGGGCGCAGGGGGGGACGCGCAGCGAGGAUGGGAAGCAGGGCAGGGUGGCACCCGGCGGCUCCCCCUCUUCUCGCAUCCCCACCUUCUGCCCUCGCUUCUUUCACCCCGCCGCUCUCCGCUCCCUUCCCCCACCCUUUGUUUUUCGCCACCUUCCCUUUUUCAGGUCCCCUUCCCCACCUUAUCACCCCCCCCGGGAGCCCAGGCGGGACACGCACGACCCCCGCUUUGCGCGGGCGACCCCAUCUCCAUCCCUGCGCGCCCCCCCCCUCCCCGCUCUUUUGCUUUAUUUCCACGUCUCAGCGGAAAGAGAAGAUGCUUGAACUCGGGCAGGACUGGUACCUGGAGCCUCUCCAGCUUACAGCCCCCUUCUCGCACCGGGAGCGCCGCCCGCCCCGCCGGACGGCUGGAGCCCGCCGCCUCGCCCCCCCGGAGGUGGGGGCUGAAGUCUUCGCGGCCACCGUUUGGAUUUGGUCAAGAGCGGAGGCUGCAAACUCGCCAGCCUCUGCCAGGCUGGAGUCCCCUGGAAAAGUCCUAGGAGCAAGUAGGAAAUGGCUUUUUGGCUGGCUGCGGCAUUGCUCAACAUUUUUGGACGGGGACCCAGCGGCCCAGGAGCCGUUCCAGAGAACAGGACUUGGACAGCUUUUUUCUGUGCGAGCAGCGGCGGAUCCAGCGAGGCAGCAGCAGCCGCCCCCGGGGGCUUGCCCACGUCCCGACGGGCUGCGGGGGCCGCUGCCCCGGCCCCCUCCCUCGCCGGGGGCACGCACCCAGCGCCCCUCGACGGCAGUUCGGCAUCUCGCAAACGCUCCGGCUUCCCGGCGAGCCUCCGGGACCCGAAACCACACGCCCAGGGUAUUUGGGACAGACGGAGCCGUCCCCGGGGCUGCGGGCACGUCGCUGUCACAGCCCCGGAUGGGGCACAGCUCCUGUCCCCCCGCGGGUGGCCGCCCCCUCGGGGGGCACAGAGCGCUCCGUGCCUCGCCCGGCGGAGCGGGCAGGAGAAGAAGCCCGGAGCUCACGUCGGGGAGCAGCCCUGGAGAGAAACACGGCUCUGCUUUGCCCCAUCCCCUCCCAUCCCGCUUUUUUUUUUUUUUUUUUUUUUUUUCUAGUUACCUCGCGUUUAAAAAAAAAAAUGCUCCAGCUUGGCAAAGGCUUUUCUAUUGUUUCCUAGACAAACAGCGGAGUGGCUGGGAGCUGCCGUCUCUGCUAGGUUUGCUCGGUGUCCCGGGCAGCCUCUGA